rnacentral:precursor_RNA from 9 species
AGCUAGAACAUUAUUCAAGAUCGAACGAUGAAGGGAGCAUCUGUCGACAGUUUGAAUUUAAAUACUGUCAUGGAGUUGCUCUCUUUACCGGGUUGGUCAAAUUCAGCAAUAAAUGGU